rnacentral:rRNA from 1 species
UGGGGAAUAUUGGACAAUGGGCGAAAGCCUGAUCCAGCAAUACCGCGUGAGUGAUGAAGGUCGAAAGAUUGUAAAACUCUUUUGUCGGGGACGAUUAUGACGGUACCCGAAGAAUAAGGACUGACUAACUUCGUGCCAGCAGUCGCGGUAAUACGUAGAGUCCAAGCGUUACUCGGAAUUAUUGGGCGUAAAGCAUGUGUAGGCUGUCUUGUAAGUUAAUGGUGAAAUACCGGGGCUCAACUUCGGUGCUGCUAUUAAUACUGCUUGACUUGAGUUUGGUAGAGGGGAAUGGAAUUCCUAGUGUAGGGGUAAAAUCCGUAGAUAUUAGGAGGAACGCCAGAGGCGAAAGCGAUUCCCUGGGCCAUAACUGACGCUGAGACAUGACAGUGUGGGGAGCAAA